UGCCAGACUCCUACGGGAGGCAGCAGUGGGGAAUAUUGGGCAAUGGGCGCAAGCCUGACCCAGCAACGCCGCGUGAAGGAAGAAGGCUUUCGGGUUGUAAACUUCUUUUCUGAGGGACGAAGAAAGUGACGGUACCUCAGGAAUAAGCCACGGCUAACUACGUGCCAGCAGCCGCGGUAAUACGUAGGGGGCGAGCGUUGUCCGGAAUUACUGGGCGUAAAGAGAGCGUAGGCGGCACUACAAGUCUCAUGUGAAAUACCCGGGCUUAACUUGGGGGUUGCAUGGGAAACUGUAGAGCUUGAGUACAGGAGAGGCAAGCGGAAUUCCUAGUGUAGCGGUGAAAUGCAUAGAUAUUAGGAGGAACACCAGUGGCGAAGGCGGCUCGCUGGACUGAAACUGACGCUGAGGCUCGAAAGCGUGGGGAGCAAACAGGAUUAGAUACCCUCGUAC
rnacentral:rRNA from 1 species